AACACCUUCAUGGGAUGGGGAGGGGGUGCCUCUCCCACAAGCUUGUGGAACCUUCCAGCUUCAUGACCAGUGGUGAGCUAGGCUCUUUCCAAUACCUGGUCCAGAGCUGAGAGUUGUCUCCCCAAUAUCAAGUGGUAAAAUAACUUUCAGAACUGGGGUUUUAAUGACCAGACCAUCACUCCAUGGCAGUUUUACGUAUGAUAUUAUGUGAUGCAUAGGCUUUCUUUCAUGGACAACCAACUAAAUUCUCUUCUGGAUUGUUCUCAAGACCCCUGACCUCACAGUAGGCCAGCAAAGGCAAUCAGCAAACAUGAUGGCAAUCAGAAACUAGUCAUGGAAUGAAACUCUUACUUGUCCCCUGUGAACUUGGGGAAUUUUAUUAACUCCUCCACCCAUCUUUCUUGGAAUAACAGCACUUCCAUUGCUGAGCAAGAAAGAGUUGUCAUUUCUGUUUGGAACUUUUAUUCUGGAAGGAAACUUAAGUAUCUGGCUUAGGAUGGGAAGGAGGUUUGAUCUUCUCUGGGAGGGAAGCUAAGUGGGAAGUUCUCUGUCCUGCACAGCUUCCUGAUACCAUCAGCAUCAACCCUGACUCAGCUAGUGUAAUCCUUCAUCCUUCUGGGGAGUGGUGAUCUGUAGAAAGCAGCCUGUGGAUUUAUUGUAUCAACAUUUUAGAGAUUAGAAGGUAUCUAAAGAUGACAGAUAAGCCUCACUCAAGUGGCUAAGACAAAACUUCAAAAACAAAACUAGUGAUCUUGAGCAAUUAAAUUCAUUUUAACUACAAGGAAGAAAUCACACUAUCAUAAGACUGUGGGGGAAGAAAGUUUAAUGACCCAGGUUAUUGAGUUUUUAAGUGUGUGUGUGUGUGUGUUUAGGUUAGUUCCAAAUUAUUUUAAAUUCAAGUGAUCAUGUGAAUUAGUUAUGACACUAAAUGAUAAAUUCAGUUAGAAAUCAUGGAAAGAGAUUGCCAGUUCCACCUUUCAGUCUUAUGGAUUUACAUGCUUCAUCUGAUUGGCACUCUGAAUCAACUCACCAUGGAUUGUUUACAGAAUAUAAAAAGAAAAAAAAACUGGCACAAGCAGUUAAAAGAAAGUCCCCAUAAGAAGUGGGCUGUUCGGUUGUCCAACCUUAUCAGGAAGCAGUAUGUAACUCAACCUAGCUUCUCAUUGAAAUUGCUUUUGCCCACAGCCACGUCAGGCUCCUGUCUAGGCGUCUUUGAUGUUGCUCUUGUACAAAGACAAUUAGGAAUGUGGAUGUCCAAAGAUCACUUGAGACUGAGAAUGAAAGCACUAAGAAUUAGUGGAGACAGAGCACUUUAAAAGCAAUUGUGUUUCUAUCGCAAAUUUAAAAGUGAUGCCAUUUGUCUUACAGGCAUUGUAU
rnacentral:lncRNA from 1 species